rnacentral:rRNA from 1 species
GCAUAUCAUAAGCGGAGGAAAAGAAACCAACAGGGAUUGCCCUAGUAACGGCGAGUGAAGCGGCAACAGCUCAAAUUUGAAAUCUGGCCCUCGGGUCCGAGUUGUAAUUUGUAGAGGAUGCUUUUGGUGCGGUGCCUUCCGAGUUCCCUGGAACGGGACGCCAUAGAGGGUGAGAGCCCCGUCUGGUUGGACACCAAGCCUCUGUAAAGCUCCUUCGACGAGUCGAGUAGUUUGGGAAUGCUGCUCUAAAUGGGAGGUAUAUGUCUUCUAAAGCUAAAUACCGGCCAGAGACCGAUAGCGCACAAGUAGAGUGAUCGAAAGAUGAAAAGCACUUUGAAAAGAGGGUUAAAUAGUACGUGAAAUUGUUGAAAGGGAAGCGCUUGUGACCAGACUUGAGCCCGGUUAAUCAUCCAGCCUUCUGGCUGGUGCACUUGGCCGGCUCAGGCCAGCAUCAGUUCGGCGUGGGGGAUAAAGGCUUCGGGAAUGUGGCUCCUCCGGGAGUGUUAUAGCCCGUUGCGUAAUACCCUGUACUGGACUGAGGUUCGCGCAUCUGCAAGGAUGCUGGCGUAAUGGUCAUCAGCGACCCGUCUUGAAACACGGACCAAGGAGUCGUCUUCGUAUGCGAGUGUUCGGGUGUCAAACCCCUACGCGUAAUGAAAGUGAACGCAGGUGAGAGCUUCGGCGCAUCAUCGACCGAUCCUGAUGUUCUCGGACGGAUUUGAGUAAGAGCAUACGGGGCCGGACCCGAAAGAAGGUGAACUAUGCCUGUAUAGGGUGAAGCCAGAGGAAACUCUGGUGGAGGCUCGCAGCGGUUCUGACGUGCAAAUCGAUCGUCAAAUAUGGGCAUGGGGGCGAAAGACUAAUCGAACCUUCUAGUAGCUGGUUUCCGCG